GAUGGGUCUCAGCUUGCGGUAAUGAAAGCUCAGCUGUUUAGGGGUUUGGAGGCCAGGCCACCAUCACCUGAGGAAUAUUUGGAGGUUUGACUGGAGCUAGAGAGGGAACAGAGAGCAGCAGCAGGCAGGACAGCGUUACAGAUGAGAGAUCAGUGAGGUGAGAGGGAAAGGUUAAAGCAGACGGGAACCUAAGACGAAACACAAAAAAGUAAGAGAGUAAGAAACAGAACAAAAACGGAGGUUGCUCUGAAUAGGAGGGGAAGAACAAAAAGUAAGUACAGGAGAUUUUAAAAUCCGCAUCAAAAGGGAUGAAGAGCAAGAGGAAGGCGGCGUUGCUGGCCAUCAGGGAAAGUAUCGAGAUGGAGCUGUUCUCCUCAGAGGAGCGCUGCGUGGUGACACCAGCACAGGAGUGGAAGGAGGAGGACGAUUACUGCUUUCACCGGAGACACCUGGAGCAUCCGCUGGUCCCUGACAGCGAGGAGGAACCAGAGCUGCAGGUUCAGACCCAAUCCAGGCAGCAGGUCAAGCCCAAAACAGAGCCUCCCACCAAGGAUGAGGCCAAGAACUGCCCCAUGGUCCCCAGAUUCAUGGAGGACAUUGACAUAGAGAUGGAGGUGUUUCCUCCCCUCAGAGUGUUUAAAGUAAAGUCAGACGAUCCCUCCAUCAUGAACCCCACAUCUCCAGACAAAGUCAGUCAUCUCAGAUGGAAGAGACCGACUUCGCAGAAGACCGGACUGGUGGUCAGAGACGUGAUAUGUCUACCAGCAGGACAUCUGGAACAGCUGGAGAGACACACUGUUCCACAGGGCAAAGAACAAGCAGCUCUAGCGGCCAUGGGCAUGACCGCUCGCAUCACCAUUGAUUGUGGUUGGACAGCCAAUCAGAUACAGAGUCGGCUGACUUUGCUCUUCUGGGGGCGUUUUGUGAAACGGGCUGGCCAAAGGUUCUCCUUCACGUAUCUCCAGUGUUUGCACGGUUCCACAGUAUUGUACGUCCCAGACACGCCUGCAGAAGGCUGGACUGGAGAGCAGGUGGUCAGGAUCUCUGGACAUGGUGCGCUGUAUAUCCUCGGCCACCAGGACUGCCCACAGAUGACAUGUGCCAAAGCAGCAGUGUUGUCAACAUAAAGUAUCCAAAAGUCACAGCAGAAUCUGAGAGGUCAACAAGCGAGACACCUGAGGUGAGCAGGAAGGACUUCUGUCCGGAGGCCAGGACAGAGAGCUGCACGGGCAAAGACGAUCAGCUGGGAAGACAGCUGCUCGAGUGACUUCAGAGUUAAACUGUUAAUGUUGCUGAACAAAGCCACGCACCAUCCUUCAAGUUUUUCAGACAAAGGGAGAUGGCGAGGACAGCCAAACACCAGCAAGGACAGGUUUAUAAAUCAGACGCUCUCCUGUAUGUCGGUUCAGUCUCUUUAACUCAUGUGACCUAAUGAGGGAGCCUAAACUCUGCUGUUAUAUUGUUUGAAGCUUUAUGUCCCCGUGAAAGUUUGAAUUGUCAGUGUAAUUCUAGAAAUGCCACGAGAACAAUGAUGUCUUUUAGAAGAGCAGAAGAAAGAGAAGAGAGUUUUAGCUUUUGUAAAUAAGAAUGGUAGUGACGACUGUACUUUCACGCAACCCUCAGAUGAAUUCUUAACACGGUCCUCCAUGUUUUAUCUUAACUCUUUUAACAGUUAUUCCAAAACACAACUGAUGCAGAUUCCAAAGUCAUGAACCUCCAACAUACAGACAUUUACAGACUGCAUCUUUUUAAUGUCUUAUAGAACAUCUUGCAUUGUGCCUGUUUUUGUUAUUUUAACAUGAUCUUGUAAGGUGUAUCUCAACAAAUAUGUCUGCUGUCAAAUCAAAUGUUGAAUAAAGUUUAUUUUCAGAGGAUCUAUCAAAUAAGACAAGAA